rnacentral:lncRNA from 1 species
UGGUGUCAUUGACUAUUUGCAGCGAGGCUACUAGAUUUGAUUGCACGUUCCCUUGCUCCCUAGCCAUUUGGGUCCUUACUGUGUAUGUUGGCUUCAGUAGGUUCAGGUUCACUGUUUGGAGUAGGAUGCACCUAGAUGAGAUCUAUCAACCCUUGUAGAAGAAGAGAAGUCUGUUAUGAUCCAGGUGGUGUGCCCAAGGCCCAGGGGACCAAGGCUAAGGCCAAGGUCCAUCAUUCAUGAGGGCUUCAUGGAGGCUCUAGGGCUAGUUGGGCCCUAGGUUGAAAGGCUGUGGGCCUUUCGGGUUCUUGAGGUCUAGGUUAUGUGGGCAUCAAGGGACCAACUCUUUAUGGGUCAGGUCUGAGCCC